UACGGAGGGGGCUAGCGUUGUUCGGAAUUACUGGGCGUAAAGCGCACGUAGGCGGAUUGUUAAGUUAGGGGUGAAAUCCCAGGGCUCAACCCUGGAACUGCCUCUAAUACUGGCAAUCUCGAGUUCGAGAGAGGUGAGUGGAAUUCCGAGUGUAGAGGUGAAAUUCGUAGAUAUUCGGAGGAACACCAGUGGCGAAGGCGGCUCACUGGCUCGAUACUGACGCUGAGGUGCGAAAGCGUGGGGAGCAAACAGG
rnacentral:rRNA from 1 species